CUGUAACGUUCGUGAUAAUAUUUACACUUUUCUGGGCAGCAAGUGCCUUCAACUUGUUUCCAGAAGCUAAUAAAAGCAAGCUGCUUUUGUUCCUUAGGACUAGAUGUCUUUGUUAAAGCUUCUUCAAAAGCAUACAAGUCUUGGGGUGUAAUACAUGGGAGAGAGAGUAGAACCUGUCUUGGGGCUGGGUCUCUCUCACGGAGGUACAUGAAUAUUUCUCGACAGAGACCGACCAGAUCAGCACUAAUGACUGCAUUUGACUCAAGCUCCAAGCCUUUGAUAAUUGCAUAGAACAGAUCUUUUGAAACAAAUUCUUGGAGUUCAAUAUUAUUUGUUGUUAUAGCUAGAAGAAUAACAUGAGCACAGAAGGAAGUAACUUUUGUGACUGCUUCACUAUCUGUCCAUUUGAAAGCUUCUAAACAAAUCUGCAAUGCUGGAAGAGCCAGGCCUCUGUGCUUCAGAAGGAAACCAACCAUAGAGUUUGAUGCAAAUGCAUCCAGAUCUUUCAGAGAAGAUGUAUCAACCCGGCUGACUUGCCCAGAUUGAUCUAAAGAAGGAAGCCCAAAAUUUAGUCCUGGUGAAGCUAUUGCAGAGAGAAGUAAGCAUGUCUCACGGGUUAGAUCUCGAAGCAGUUUCUCCUCCAUUACUUCCACUUUCAAGUCUGACCCAGCAAGCAUGCCAUGGACAUCUGGAACCCUUGCUUUACCUUCAUGCAAAAGACUAGACCAAGAAAAGCUAAGAACUUGCUGCACAUGGAGAAAUAAUGGAUAUAGGAGCUUUUCCAGCCAGACCUCCCACAUUUCUGAAGGACAAGACUUGACCAAAUAUAUCAAAACCGAAUGAACAAGCUGCCUUAUAUGUCUGAACUCCAUAGACUGUAUAUUCUCCAUUAGUGCUACACCAAGAGAAUGAACAUCCAAACAUUUAAAAAAUGAAUCUCCAAUGGUCAUAGAUAGGCCCAAUACAUUGUACCCACUGUCUCUGAUACCUUUUAACCAAUUUCUUAUAUCAGAUUCAUUUGCUUCUGCAUAUCCUUCCUUAUACGUGUCAGUCUGAGAUCCAUCUGUGAAAGUUAAAGAACCCUUUGGCAAUUUGGGGUUCCCUUCCCCAAGAAGAGCAAAUCGCUCAGCAUCACUCAUGGUCAUGGCAGCUUUCAGUUCUCCAGGUAAUGCUUGAGAUAUGGAUGGAGACCAAAGGGAAUGUAUGGCACGGAGCAAAUGCCAAUCAACAAGACAAUAUUUUCAAUAGUAAUAGCCUUCUAGUACAGAAAAUAUGAAUGAAAAAAAAAUUGAAAUAAUACAGUUAGUUCUUAAAAGCAACACACAUACUUCUAAGAGAGGAGGCAGCAUCCAGGAUAGAUGUGACGCCAGAUGCAAAGGAGUGCUUGCUGUUGAGCUGUUCUGCAAAUUCAUAUGGCCUUUUCUGGUUCCACUUCUUUUAAGCACCUUCUCAAAGAAUGUCACAGUGUGGAAAAUCGACCACAUAAAUGGUGUCUCAGAGCACAAACGAAUCAGACCCAGUGGUUCAGACAAAAAAUUAUUUUGCCAUUCUAGCUGUAUCCACUGUUGGCUCAAAGGUUCAAGUAACCAGGCCAAAACUUCUUGUUGUUGUUGAAUCCCAGCAGCAGAAGCCAUUACAAGAAUGCUUUGCCUAGAAGAUUAUGUUCACUAUGAUUUAGACAACCUUCUCUUGCAUAUAGGCCAUUGUAUCAGCUACAUCCUUCAUGUGGGGCAGAAUGCUUUUUCCAGCUGCUUUGGCUAUUCGAAUGAAUGACGUACAAAUCUGCAGCCUUGCAUGCCGUGCACUAUUUGUUGAAGGAUCCUAGCAACCAAAUAAUAGCAGUAGUUGAAUUAUCCCUUUAAAAGUAAUGAACUUUGAAAAUUAAGAUAAAUAUUAUAAGAAACCUUAACCACAAAUGGAAGUGAUGUCAGAAGCUCAAAUAGUUUAUUAAUAACACUGCCCACAGCAUCUGGGAAAUAUUUCAAAAAAGGACCCAAUGCAUCUAAGUAGUGCCCAAGGACUUCCACAAGAGCUGGCUCCGUCCAUUUCAAUGAGAGAAGUUGCUGAAGUAAACCUUCAAAUAUUCUACACAAUGCAAGGUGAACUUCAGAACUCCCCCCUGAAAAUUCAUGUGAUCCAUCAAAAAUUGCGCUUACAACAUUUUCAAGAGCCACUUGCGUGCUCUCCAUCACAGCUAAUUCCUGAACAGGUAUUGCAGAGACUGAGAGGCUAUUGAUGAUUGAAAAAAUUCUUUCAGAAAUUUUAGCGCUGGCUAUAAGGGGCUUAAAAGAAGCAACAAACUUCAUCAGCUCAGACAGCUUGGAACGAUACUGGCUAAAAUCCCCCUUGCCUUCAAAAUCAUCACUCCAUAACUCCAAAUCUCCAAGAGAAAGGGAUGUCCCUACUUUUUCUCUUUUAAGCAUGCGCCGGAAAGUGAUAUCCAGAAUUGCACUACAAAUAUCAUCACCCAUAAGACUUAAAAUCUUUGUUUUUUCAUUAUCAACCUGUCCAGAACCAAAGCCCACAUUAUUAACAGCAGAACCACCUCCAGAUGAAAGUACAACAACUUUUGGCUUGGACAUUAGAUCUCUCAUUAGCACCAGCCAAAAGAGAAGGGAUUGAUAAUGGAGAGUGAGCUCAUAAUGUUGAAAGAAGCCCAACAUCUGAAAUUAUAU
rnacentral:misc_RNA from 1 species